CAGUAGCCACGGUAAUACGUAGGGUGCAAGCGUUAAUCGGAAUUACUGGGCGUAAAGCGUGCGCAGGCGGUUAUAUAAGACAGAUGUGAAAUCCCCGGGCUCAACCUGGGAACUGCAUUUGUGACUGUAUAGCUAGAGUACGGCAGAGGGGGAUGGAAUUCCGCGUGUAGCAGUGAAAUGCGUAGAUAUGCGGAGGAACACCGAUGGCGAAGGCAAUCCCCUGGGCCUGUACUGACGCUCAUGCACGAAAGCGUGGGGAGCAAACAGGAUUAGAUACCCGGGUAGUCCCUGUCUCUUAUCC
rnacentral:rRNA from 1 species